CCUACGGGUGGCUGCAGUAGGGAAUCUUCCGCAAUGGACGAAAGUCUGACGGAGCAACGCCGCGUGAGCGAAGAAGGCCUUCGGGUCGUAAAGCUCUGUUGUUAGGGACGAACAAGUACCGGAGUAACUGCCGGUACCGUGACGGUACCUAACCAGAAAGCCACGGCUAACUACGUGCCAGCAGCCGCGGUAAUCCGUAGGUGGCAAGCGUUGUCCGGUAUUAUUGGGCGUAAAGCGCGCGCAGGCGGUCCCUUAAGUCUGAUGUGAAAGCCCCCGGCGUAAACGGGGAGGGUCAUUGGAAGCUGGGGGACUGGAGUGCAGAAGAGAAGAGCGGAAUUCCACGUGUAGCGGUGAAAUGCGUAGAGAUGUGGAGGAACACCAGUGGCGAAGGCGGCUCUUUGGUCUGUAACUGACGCUGAGGCGCGAAAGCGUGGGGAGCAAACAGGAUUAGAUACCCUAGUAGUC
rnacentral:rRNA from 1 species